AGCGCCUCCUGUCAGUUAUCGUUUGAACGUCGAGAAGCGCAAGUAAACGCGAAAAUAAAAUCGCAACCGGCAUUUUCCGGGUUUGAAAGUUAAAUUUCCGUGAGAAGUAAAGUGUAAAAAUGUCGAGACUAGUGCCAAUUAUGUUGAGGGACAUGAUGCGCCCUUUCAGGCGCAUGGAGAACGAAAUGCGAGCCCUGGAAGAGGAUUUUUUCAGACCGGCGUCGUUUUUCAACAGGCCCCGCUAUUUCCUGAAAUAUCCCGACCAGGAAGACGCUGCUGUGACCCAGGACAGGGACAAAUUCCAAGUUAAAAUAGACGUAGAAGCUUUCAAGCCGGAAGAGAUUAAAAUUAGGACAUUGAGCGACGCGAACACCAUAGAAAUCGAGGCCAAGCAUGAGGAGAAGCAGGAUGAUCAUGGGUUUAUUUCCAGACACUUUGUGAGGAGGUUUGUCUUGCCCAAAGGACACGAUUUGAAAUCUGUCGUGUCCAAUUUGAGUGAGGAUGGUGUCUUGACGGUAACAGCUCCGAGAAAACGUCAGGAGAUUGCUCAGGAGAAGACCAUACCGAUUGAACAUAUUGAAGGCAAAAAAGAAUCUUAAAUCAUUUUUAUUUGUCAAAAUAAUAAUUAAUAUUUUUAGAAUCUAAAAUAUAUAGAAUUUACUCAAAUUAGGUCUUGAUGUUAUUAAAAUAGACUGAUUAUUCUUAUUUCUCGUGUAGUUUUUAUAGUUCGAUUUUAGUUUGUAAGCGAUUUGAUUUUGUUUAGUAAGUUUGUGCAACGUUUUGAAAUUCGCUUAAUAAACGUUUGAAAAUA